GUAAAUAAAUUAUUUAUUUUUACGCACACUAGAUGUUAUCUCUUUAAAUAAGGUAUUUUACAGAAAUAUAUUUCAGAAGUAUAUGUCACAGAAUAUUUUACCAAAAUGUAUAUUUUGUUUUUACAAAUAAAUUUUUUUAUUACAAAUAAAUAUCAAAGAAAAUGUCACAAGAAAUAUUUAAUUCUCAAUAUUUCGAUACAUUUUUUUCUCAGUGUAUACUUAAUUUAGAAAACAAGUAAUUCUUAUGCGUCUUUAAAAUAUAUGCUUUAUACAAACCAUUAUUUUUAUUUUUGUAUUACUAUAUAAUGUACUAAAAUAUUCAUUUUUAACAUAAAUCUGUCAAUAUAAUAAAUAUAGAAAAAAGUAAUUUCUGACUUGUUAUAUUGAUACUCUUAAAAUAAUGUAGUCUUUAUGAUAAUGCAAGAAAGAUUACUAUACAUUAAACUUAAAGUUCAUUUAAAAUAAUGUAUCAAAAUUGUUCGUUUAAGUGCAGUAAUAUAGUAAAAUUAAAAAAUAAGAAAUAUAUAAUUUACUAAUCAGGAAAUUACGUAAGAUUUAAAAAUAGUUACACUAAUAGUUGAUAUUAAACAGUUCACGAAUAGAAAUUGUGAUGUUCGGCACUUGUAUGCGUGGAUCUCUGACCAUGGCAGCCGGUAAAUAAUGAUUAUCGGAAAUUUGAAAAAGCAAUCGCGUCGUACAUGGUCGCGCUCUUCCGACCUUCGCAAUCCGUUAGCGUCGAUAUCGACGGUAACUUUGUACUUCGUAUCCUAUCUCUUUCUAUGAGCAAAAAUAGCGAACAGCGGAUAUCACUGCGCAGUUGCAUUCCCGCUUUUUACGCGAUAAGCAUGAAAUCUUCCGCGGGUUCGACUUUUCAGUCGAGGACGCUUGCAAGUAAUACUUAUUUUACGCGGUAAACGAUAAGAUAGAAGACCUCCGCAUAAUAGCACAAAAUAUGUUUUAGGUAAAAUAGUAACAGUUAGGAUUAUUUAAGCAGACAUUGUGUUUUACAUCGUAAAAUACUGAUGUCCUUGAACUUCUCGCUCUUGAGCAAGCCGUCGAGAUGCAAUAACGUUCAUUCACGUGAACAACGUGAGAAUGCGGGAUGAUGUCAACAAUGCACCCCUGCAAUUUGCGGCAGCCCUCUCUCGCACCUCUUGGGAGCUAAGAAUAACUAUCACCAUCCGGUCAGGCAUGGAGAUGGACGUCAGUCGCGUGACCUAGUUUUAAUCGGCGAACAUUCUUCUACUAAUUAACUAUGUACGACCACUUUAGAAGUCGCUGGUGACGCCACGACGCCUGAUAAUAUAUGAACGAUUCUUGCUUUAUCGGAGGCGACGUGAAAAGCUCACGAAAAGAAUAUUAAAUAAUAACGAGAAAAUCUGAAAGUUCUCUGAUUCCGAUUCUAAAGUCCGAAAGUCGUGGAAGUUUGGGUUUAACGAGCAAUCUUAAAGCGGAAGCGACGAUAAUCGAAGACGAAUGUAAUGCGAUCAAUCGCGAUUAAAUUCGGAGGACCAAAAUAUUUAAAAUUUUAACACGUCUUGGACCAAAACUUUCUAAAAUGUAGUAAUGAGUUUCAAUUAUUAUGUUAAUCCUCUAAGACCCAAUGGGACCUUGUGUCCCACACAUUCAAAUACGUUAAAAUAUACUAUAGUUUUAUAAUUUAGGAAUCUUAUCAAUAGAGCUGUUUUAAAUAGGCCUUGAUAAAACUGUCUAUACUAUCAGAGCCCCAGAUUCAUCAAUGAGCCUGUUAAAAAAAUAAUAUAGUGUCAGCGUUGUUAACAAAAGUGCGUGCAUGUUGCGUUUGCUGAAAAUUAUUUAAUUUAAAGUAAGUAAAAAUGUUUUUUAUAGUAUAAUAAACGUACAUUAAUAAAAAGUAGACUUAAUUGAAUAAAUACACUACUUAAAAUUGCUUCCUAGAUUUAUUAUGUGAAGAGCUGUCAUUUUAAAGUUAUGAUUCGUCACAUUUCAACACCCAUGUUUUGUCACCCCAAAAAAAAAA